rnacentral:rRNA from 1 species
UGGGGAAUAUUGCACAAUGGGCGCAAGCCUGAUGCAGCAACGCCGCGUGAACGAUGAAGGUCUUCGGAUCUUAAAGUUCUGUUGCAGGGGAAGAUAAUGACGGUACCCUGUGAGGAAGCCCCGGCUAACUACGUGCCAGCAGCCGCGGUAAUACGUAGGGGGCUAGCGUUAUCCGGAUUUACUGGGCGUAAAGGGUGCGUAGGUGGUCUUUCAAGUCGGUGGUUAAAGGCUACGGCUCAACCGUAGUUAGCCUCCGAAACUGGAAGACUUGAGUGCAGGAGAGGAAAGUGGAAUUCCCAGUGUAGCGGUGAAAUGCGUAGAUAUUGGGAGGAACACCAGUAGCGAAGGCGGCUUUCUGGACUGCAACUGACACUGAGGCACGAAAGCGUGGGUAGCAAACAGG